UCCGGAUUUAUUGGGUUUAAAGGGUCCGUAGGCGGAUUAAUAAGUCAGUGGUGAAAGCCCGCAGCUUAACUGUGGAACUGCCAUUGAUACUGUUAGUCUUGAGUGUAGUUGAAGUGGCUGGAAUGAGUAGUGUAGCGGUGAAAUGCAUAGAUAUUACUCAGAACACCAAUUGCGAAGGCAGGUCACUAAGUUACAACUGACGCUGAUGGGACGAAAGCGUGGGGAGCGAACAGGAUUAGAUACCCUGGUAGUCCACGCCGUAAACGAUGCUAACUCGUUUUUGGGCUUUAGGGUUCAGAGACCAAGCGAAAGUGAUAAGUUAGCCACCUGGGGAGUACGUUCGCAAGAAUGAAACUCAAAGGAAUUGACGGGGGCCCGCACAAGCGGUGGAUUAUGUGGUUUAAUUCGAUGAUACGCGAGGAACCUUACCAAGACUUAAAUGGGAAAUGACAGAUUUAGAAAUAGAUCCUCCUUCGGGCAUUUUUCAAGGUGCUGCAUGGUUGUCGUCAGCUCGUGCCGUGAGGUGUUAGGUUAAGUCCUGCAACGAGCGCAACCCCUGUCACUAGUUGCUACCAUUGAGUUGAGGACUCUAGUGAGACUGCCUACGCAAGUAGAGAGGAAGGUGGGGAUGACGUCAAAUCAUCACGGCCCUUACGUCUUGGGCCACACACGUAAUACAAUGGCAGGUACAGAGGGCAGCUACACAGCGAUGUGAUGCGAAUCUCGAAAGCCUGUCUCAGUUCGGAUUGGAGUCUGCAACUCGACUCUAUGAAGCUGGAAUCGCUAGUAAUCGCGCAUCAGCCAUGGCGCGGUGAAUACGUUCCCGGGCCUUGUACACACCGCCCGUCAAGCCAUGGAAGUUUGGGGUGCCUGAAGUCGGUGACCGUAAAAGGAGCUGCCUAGGGUAAAACAAGUAACUAGGGCU
rnacentral:rRNA from 1 species